rnacentral:lncRNA from 1 species
CUCCAGCCCAGGUCCGGCCGGCAAGACAAGACACGGACCCCGGCGGGGCUGGCGCGCAGAAAACUGGCCGCGUGGGACAGGGGGACCUGGGAUAGUGGGGGACGUGCGAAGGUCCACGCGAGCGCCUAGGGUCUUGGAAAGAGGGCCGCGCUGAGGGCACUGCUCAGGCCGGCUCCGGCUCAGCGGCCGCAGAGUGGGCGCCGGUAGCGGGGGCGGAGAAGAUCUCGAAAGAUCUCGUUGCGACGGGAGUAAAGCUGCAGCGCGAGAACUGCGAGGGAAUGUUCUCGCGAGACCCCGUCUCAGAGGCCUUUCUUCCUAAGGCUCCGCCCCCCAGUUACGUACAAGAGUGCGUCAAGCCCGGGCCCAAAAACCAGAGGAGCGACAGGGAAGCCGAAAGGUAGUUGGGAGGCGGAGCUGAUCACUGAGCCUGCGCACAGAACCCGCCGCAGCACUCCCUGCAGCGGUGUCCAGUGGAGUCCUGUCCUACAUUCUGGAGUGGCUUCUGGAAUUAUCUGUUUCACAAGUAAGCUACAAGCUCAGAUAAUGGUGUUUUCUGAUUUCCCUGGUGUCACAGUGAGUAGACCAGGUCCUUCAUCAAACUGAUGCCGAGCAGGGCCCAGAGGGACUCCUGGGCAUGAAGGCCUUUUUGUCCCCCAUUUCUUGUCCGCAAGACUCCACCCUCGGUGACCUUCUCUGAGUUCCAAAGGGCAGAACACUUACUGAUUAAAGGAGAAGCAGAAGCAAAACCACGUGAGGCAAAACCAAAGGGACCAGAGAGACUCGUCAAGAUUAGGAGAUGAGACCACCUGAGACCUCCCCCCGCCUCCACCAAUGUUUUCAGCCACCCCAUCCUUUUGAAACUCUGCAUAAGAAAGGAUGAAAAACUGUUACUGCCUUGAUACUUAUCGAAUACCCCAUCUAACUACAUACAUAAAACCUCUCCUCCAACCUACCAGGGAGUGAAGGUGGGGGCAUGGGGGGUGAGUGUGGGGGUGGGUACAGUUCUUAAGGCACUAGCCUACUGUGUUUUCUUUUGCCUGGCAAAGUAAUAAAGCCACUCUCUCCUUCUCCUCCAUUACUCUGUCUCCAUAUUUCUGUUUGGCAUUGGUGCACAGACAGCCAAGAUUUU